GAUGAACGCUGGCGGCGUGCCUAACACAUGCAAGUCGAACGGAGUUGUCACCAUGAAGUUUUCGGAUGGAUUGGUAACAACUUAGUGGCGGACGGGUGAGUAACGCGUGGGUAACCUGCCUCAUACUGGGGGAUAACAGCUGGAAACGGCUGCUAAAACCGCAUAAGAUCGCAUCACCGCAUGGUGAGGCGGUUAAAUAUCGAAAGAUAGGUAUGAGAUGGGCCCGCGUCUGAUUAGCUAGUUGGUGAGAUAAGAGCCCACCAAGGCGACGAUCAGUAGCCGGCUUGAGAGAGUGACCGGCCACAUUGGGACUGAGACACGGCCCAAACUCCUACGGGAGGCAGCAGUGGGGAAUAUUGCACAAUGGGGGAAACCCUGGAUGCAGCGACGCCGCGUGAGUGAAGAAGUGCUUCGGCAUGUAAAGCUCUAUCAGCAGGGAAGAGAUGACGGUACCUGACUAAGAAGCCCCGGUAACUACGUG
rnacentral:rRNA from 1 species